GACGAACCGUGCGAACGCUGUUCGGAAUCACUGGGCUUAAAGGGCGCGUAGGCGGUCUGCCAAGUCCGGGGGGAAAGCCCCCAGCUCAACUGGGGAAGUGCCUUGGAUACUGGUGGACUCGAGCGAGGCAGGGGUCGUGGGAACUUCCGGUGGAGCGGUGAAAUGCGUUGAUAUCGGAAGGAACGCCGGUGGCGAAAGCGCACGACUGGUCCUCUUCUGACGCUGAGGCGCGAAAGCCAGGGGAGCAAACGGU
rnacentral:rRNA from 1 species